rnacentral:rRNA from 1 species
CUACGUAGGGGGCGAGCGUUGUCCGGAAUGAUUGGGCGUAAAGGGCGCGUAGGCGGCCCGGUAAGUCUGGAGUGAAAGUCCUGUUUUUAAGAUGGGAAUUGCUUUGGAUACUGUCGGGCUUGAGUGCAGGAGAGGUAAGUGGAAUUCCCAGUGUAGCGGUGAAAUGCGUAGAGAUUGGGAGGAACACCAGUGGCGAAGGCGACUUACUGGACUGUAACUGACGCUGAGGCGCGAAAGUGUGGGGAGCAAACAGGAUUAGAUACCCUGGUAGUCCACACUGUAAACGAUGAAUGCUAGGUGUAGGGGGUAUCGACCCCUUCUGUGCCGCAGUCAACACAAUAAGCAUUCCGCCUAGGGAGUACGGCCGCAAGGUUGAAACUCAAAUGAAUUGACGGGG